rnacentral:lncRNA from 1 species
UCUAUUGAUAUUGUGGAUAGCAUAUGAUAUACAUGUAUCAAUCUUACAGAAAUGGGCCCAACAUUGUCCAUACAUUGAAACUUUUCUAUAUAAUAUAUUUGUUUGUUAUUCCAGAAAAAUAGAAAUUUAAACUUAAUUUAUAGACUUUUAUAUUGGGGUUUUUAGGUUUGUGCAAUCUAUAUUGAUGCAUGAUUUACUGAUUUACUCUACUAACAUACUAGUCAUAUGUAUCUAUAACUUAUAUAAUAGCUUGUAAACUGGUGAAUAGGGAACUGUAAAAAAAAAAUAACACUGUUUGUGAUAAUCAUAACAAAUAUAAGUUGGUAUCCCCACCAAUUAAAAGUCAUUUCAAAACCAAAAAUGCUAAUUUAAAAAGUAUCCGUUAAACUAUGAUAUUUGCAAUAAACAUGCAAAUUUUAUCAUAUUGUUUUAUCAUUUAUUGAGAGAAUUGCAUACGAAGCGUUCUACACUGACACAUACAGCCAGUAGAAAAAUAUAUUGAAGUUAAUACCCGAGGAAUUUAUUUUGAUAGCAAUACCAAUUUCACACAAAACUAUAGCCUGAUGUUCUCAAUGUUGAUAUACUAGGAAAGAAUUAUCUACAUUCUAUGGCUAUUUUUGUUUUAAGUUAUCUUAAUUUUUUCAAUUAUUUCUAUUUACCAGAUUAUUUUGGAGAACUUAUCAGUUAAGUCUUCACAGAGAAUGGGCAGAUCAUUUAAGACUUGCAUUUCUGAGUGUUUGCAAGGGAGAUAAUGGUGUGUUUAACUUGAUGAUAAGUGUGAUUUCAACACGAAAAUAUAUCUGACUUAAUCUUUCUUUUUUUAUGGCCUUUAAAAUUCCAAAGAAAGUCUCAAGAUGAUUUUGAAGUGCAAUAGAAACUACAUAAUUUCAAUAUUGUAUACAGUUUUUGUAUGUUUGCAUUUUCAACAUUUCUAUAGAAAGCCAUUAGAAAAACACAAUUCAAACAGAUACCGGCAGUAUUUUAUCAUAUUAAAGUGUUGUAUGGUCCUUGUAAGUGAAGCAUGGACAAAGGAUCUAUAUUUCAGUUGAAUUGGUAUUAAUAUGACAAGGUUGUACGGUAUCAAAUUAACAUUCCCAAUGUGUGAAACAAUUGUCGUCAGAUUUAAUUAAAAUAGUAAGUGCUGGAUGCAUAGUAAGUGCUAGGUUGUUGCUUUAACAGAAAUUAUUCAGAAAAUUAAUAUAUAACCGUCUUUAUUGUAUGUUUGUUUUAGCAAGAAGGGAAGGUUGCACUUAUUCUGUAUUUCUAUAUAUUUGUUUCAUGUUGAUAUAAUUUAUUGUGAACUUUGUAUGUGAAUUUUUGUUGAAAAUAAAUUUUGAAU